rnacentral:rRNA from 1 species
CAAGGCAUACGGCUCAGUAACGCGUAGUCAACCUAACCUAUGGACGGGAAUAACCUCGGGAAACUGAGAAUAAUGCCCGAUAGAACAUUAUGCCUGGAAUGGUUUAUGUUCCAAAUGAUUUAUCGCCGUAGGAUGGGACUGCGGCCUAUCAGUUUGUUGGUGAGGUAAUGGCCCACCAAGACUAUUACAGGUACGGGCUCUGAGAGGAGUAGCCCGGAGAUGGGUACUGAGACACGGACCCAGGCCCUAUGGGGCGCAGCAGGCGAGAAAACUUUGCAAUGUGCGAAAGCACGACAAGGUUAAUCCGAGUGGUUUCUGCUAAAGAAACCUUUUGUCAGUCCUAGAAACACUGAUGAAUAAGGGGUGGGCAAGUUCUGGUGUCAGCCGCCGCGGUAAAACCAGCACCUCAAGUGGUCAGGAUGAUUAUUGGGCCUAAAGCAUCCGUAGCCGGCUCUGUAAGUUUUCGGUUAAAUCUGCACGCUCAACGUACAGGCUGCCGGGAAUACUGCAGAGCUAGGGAGUGGGAGAGGUAGACGGUACUCGGUAGGAAGGGGU